rnacentral:rRNA from 1 species
GAAGCUGGAUUCGCUAGUAAUCGCGCAUCAGCCAUGGCGCGGUGAAUACGUUCCCGGGCCUUGUACACACCGCCCGUCAAGCCAUGAAANCCGGGGGCGCCUGAAGUCCGUGACCGCGAGGGUCGGCCUAGGGUGAAACCGGUGAUUGGGGCUAAGUCGUAACAAGGUACC